rnacentral:rRNA from 1 species
CGUAGGUGAACCUGCGGAAGGAUCAUAGUAAUCGUCU